rnacentral:rRNA from 1 species
CAAUAGCGUAUAUUAAAGUUGUUGCAGUUAAAAAGCUCGUAGUUGGAUUUCUGGUGAGAGUACGGGUCGGCCUUAACGGGUUGCACUGUUGUUACGUCUCGCCGUUUCCGGGGGAAUGGGUUCGCUAUUAGGUUAGUGGGCUCGGGAACCUGGUCGUUUACUGUGAAAAAAUUAGAGUGUUCAAAGCAGGCCUUUGCUGUGAAUACAUUAGCAUGGAAUAAUAAGAUAGGACUGUAGUGCUAUUUUGUUGGUUUGCGUACUAUGGUAAUGAUUAAUAGGGAUAGUUGGGGGUAUUCAUAUUCAAUUGUCAGAGGUGAAAUUCUUGGAUUUAUGGAAGAUGAACUACUGCGAAAGCAUUUACCAAGGAUGUUUNCAUUAA